CCUACGGGAGGCAGCAGUGAGGAAUAUUGGUCAAUGGACGAGAGUCUGAACCAGCCAAGUAGCGUGAAGGAUGACUGCCCUAUGGGUUGUAAACUUCUUUUAUAUGGGAAUAAAAUGUUCCACGUGUGGGAUUUUGUAUGUACCAUAUGAAUAAGGAUCGGCUAACUCCGUGCCAGCAGCCGUGGUAAUACGGAGGAUCCGAGCGUUAUCCGGAUUUAUUGGGUUUAAAGGGAGCGUAGGGGGAUUGUUAAGUCAGUUGUGAAAGUUUGCGGCUCAACCGUAAAAUUGCAGUUGAAACUGGCAGUCUUGAGUACAGUAGAGGUGGGCGGAAUUCGUGGUGUAGCGGUGAAAUGCUUAGAUAUCACGAAGAACUCCGAUUGCGAAGGCAGUUCACUGGACUGCAACUGACACUGAGGCUCGAAAGUGUGGGUAUCAAACAGGAUUAGAUACCCCUGUAGUC
rnacentral:rRNA from 1 species